GGAAUGCAGAGGAAGUGGUCCCUCGCGCUGGCUACACGCUCUUCCUGUUGUAGGUUACACCUCCACGGAGAGGGGGAGUUCAGUCAGUGAAGAAAAUGGCGACCGUGCGAAUAACCGCGGCGCUCUUGGAACGCUGCAAGCACAUUUGAUUUUCCGUAGCCUUAUAAUCUGCGUUCACUGGGGCUUCGCUGCACUUUAGACCUUGGAGAUUUGGAUCCUUGAGCCACCAAAGAAGCUGAAGAGAAGCAAAACAGGGUAACCAUACAAGGGAAGGAAGACCCAGUUGAUGGAAGAUAGGACAGAGGUAAAGGAAGACACACUUGAAGAAGCUGGAUUGAAAAGUGCCAGAACAUAUUGGGUCCGUUUUGACCCGGACCCAGCGCCAGCCUGCGUAGCGGCUUCCCCUUUGCGCCCAACGCCACCAGCGAUGCCAACUGUGCUCCGCCCAGCUUCAAGCCCUGAGCCGAACCAAGCUUUUUGCCUCACCCCCCUCCCCCCACAGUUGAAACGCUGAUAGUCGCUGUUCCUGGGACCUGCCGACGCCCUGGGAACCCGGACACGGCUCACCUCCGGCCAGCUGGGGGCCACGCUGCAAGCCAACGAGGGCCCCCUCCACAGCCUUGCCAACUCCAUCCUGCCCACAAGUACUGGUGUUGAAUGGCUUAAUUCUCUAAAUUGCUAACAGCACCCAGUGUGUCUCAAUAGCAUCCUUUGACUGCACAUCCAUUGUUUUCAGUCUUAAAAGUCUAGUCUCAUUGUUCCUUCUGUAUCAGUCUCACUCUGU
rnacentral:lncRNA from 1 species